rnacentral:rRNA from 1 species
AUUGAACGCUGGCGGCAGGCCUAACACAUGCAAGUCGAACGGUAACAGGAAGCAGCUUGCUGCUUCGCUGACGAGUGGCGGACGGGUGAGUAAUGUCUGGGAAGCUGCCUGAUGGAGGGGGAUAACUACUGGAAACGGUAGCUAAUACCGCAUAAUGUCGCAAGACCAAAGAGGGGGACCUUCGGGCCUCUUGCCAUCGGAUGUGCCCAGAUGGGAUUAGCUUGUUGGUGGGGUAACGGCUCACCAAGGCGACGAUCCCUAGCUGGUCUGAGAGGAUGACCAGCUACACUGGAACUGAGACACGGUCCAGACUCCUACGGGAGGCAGCAGUGGGGAAUAUUGCACAAUGGGCGCAAGCCUGAUGCAGCCAUGCCGCGUGUAUGAAGAAGGCCUUCGGGUUGUAAAGUACUUUCAGCGGGGAGGAAGGGAGUAAAGUUAAUACCUUUGCUCAUUGACGUUACCCGCAGAAGAAGCACCGGCUAACUCCGUG